rnacentral:rRNA from 4 species
GGUUAAGCGACUAAGCGUACACGGUGGAUGCCCUGGCAGUCAGAGGCGAUGAAGGACGUGCUAAUCUGCGAUAAGCGCCGGUAAGGUGAUAUGAACCGUUAUAACCGGCGAUUUCCGAAUGGGGAAACCCAGUGUGACUCGUCACACUAUCAUUAACUGAAUCCAUAGGUUAAUGAGGCGAACCGGGGGAACUGAAACAUCUAAGUACCCCGAGGAAAAGAAAUCAACCGAGAUUCCCCCAGUAGCGGCGAGCGAACGGGGAGGAGCCCAGAGCCUGAAUCAGCAUGUGUGUUAGUGGAAGCGUCUGGAAAGGCGCGCGAUACAGGGUGACA